AUAAAAAAGCUGAGAGCUUUGAGGCGCAAUUCACCAGUCAGCAGUGGCACCAAAGACUGAAACCUCUCUCUCUCUGUCUCGCUGCAUGUGAGAUUGAGGCAUUCGUUCUCGGAAACCUCACAUUGUGAUGGCGUCGAAGGGAAAGGGGAUCGCCACCGGAGGUGGAUUCUCCGGCGGCAAGCGCAAGCACGACGACGACAAGUCCGGUGGUGGCCGGAAGAGGAGCAACCCCGGCGUCCUCAGAUUCUUCGAAGACGCCGCUGCCGAAUCCGACGACGGAAUCGACAGUGACUUCGAUGACGAUUUUAUGGAUGAAGAAUUUGAAACAGAACCUGUAGCCCAGAAUGACCCAGGGAAAGCACAUAACCUUCCAUUCGUUCCUAAGGAGGAGGAUCUGGAUGGUGAAGAAUUUGAAAAAAUGAUGGAAGAACGAUACAGGAGUGGUUCUAGCUAUGUAACCUAUGCUGAAGAUAAUUAUGAGAACAAAAGGUCGAUUGAUGGAAAUGUUUUGCCUACUGUUAAGGAUCCAGUCAUCUGGAAAGUAAAAUGCAUGGUUGGACGUGAGAGGCAUUCAGCUUUCUGUAUGAUGCAAAAGUUUGUUGACUUCCGAUCACUAGGUACCAAACUACAGAUUGUUUCUGCAUUUGCUGUUGAGCACAUCAAGGGUUUUGUUUUCGUUGAAGCUGACAAGCAGUCUGAUAUUAAUGAGGCAUGUAAAGGAAUUUGUAGUAUAUACCCUUCCCGAGUAAUGCCAGUUCCAAAUAAUGAAGUUUCUCAUUUGCUGUCUCCUCGGACUAAAUCCAAUGGAAUUACUGCGGGCAUGUGGGCCCGUGUGAAGAAUGGGAACUACAAGGGUGAUUUGGCACAGGUUGUGUUUGUGAAUGAUUUACGAAAAAGAGCAACCUUAAAGCUGAUCCCCAGAAUUGAUCUUCAAGCAAUGGCUGCAAAAUUUGGUGGAGGAGGUACUAGAAAGAAAAGGCCUGCUCCUGCCCCGAGAUUGAUCAGCUCAAACGAACUCGAGGAGUUCCGCCCUCUCAUUCAGUACAGGACUGAUCGUGAAAGUGGCAUGAAGUUUGAGUUUCUUGAUGGUCUGAUGUUCAAGGAUGGAUAUUUGUACAAAAAAGUAUCAAUAGAUUCAUUAAGCUUCUGGGGUGUUAUGCCAUCAGAAGAGGAACUACUGAAAUUCAAGCCUUCUGAGAACACCAAAAAUGAGGACGAGGACUGGCUUACAGAACUUUAUGGUACAACAGAAAAGAAAAGGCGGACCAUCAAAAUUGAAGAAGGUGGUGGUAAAGGAGAGGGUUCAUCGGGUUCUAUGGGGAAAGGAGGGGGUUCAUCAGGGUCUAUGGGGAAAGGAGAGGGCUCAUCAGGGUCUAUGGGGAAAGGAGAGGGCUCAUCAGGGUCUUUGGGGAAAGGAGAGGGUUCAUCAGGACCUAUGGGGAAAGGAGAGGGCUCAUCGCAGUCUAUGGGGAAAGGAGAGGGUUCAUCUGGGUCUAAGGGGAAAGGAGAGGGUUCGUCAGGUUCAAUGGGGAAGGGAGAGGACUCAUCAACGUCUAUGGGGAAAGGCGGGGGUUCUUCAGGUUCUGGUGGGAGUGGUUUUGAACUGUAUGAUCUUGUUUGUUUUGGCCGGAAAGAUUUUGGUCUUGUAAUAGGCAUGGAGAAAGAUGAUAGUUACAAGAUUCUGAAAGAGGGAGUGGAAGGACCUAUUGUGCUGAUGGUUCAGAAGCGUGAGUUAAAGACUGUUCUUUCUGAUAUGAAAUUUACGGCAUUAGAUAGGCACAUGAAGGCCAUAUGCGUUAGUGAUACUGUCAAAGUAUCGGAAGGACCUUUGGAGGGUAGGCAGGGUAUUGUUAAGCAAAUAUAUAGAGGCACCAUAUUCUUGUAUGAUGAGAACGAGACAGAAAAUGGUGGUUAUUUUUGCUCAAAAUCCCAAAUGUGUGAGAAAGUUAAGCUUUACAUUGAUUCUAGCAAAGAAAAGGAUGGGGACUCAGGUGCUCUGGGUUUUGGAGAUUUCAUGUCGUCUCCUAAAUCCCCGCUAUCGCCAAAAAAGCCAUGGCAAGAAAGGGAUAGUAACUUCAAUCAGGGUGAUAAAGAUGGAAUGUUCUCAAUUGGUCAAACUGUAAGAAUCCGUGUGGGUCCGUUGAAGGGAUACCUCUGUCGAAUCUUGGCUAUACGCCGUGCUGAUAUUACUGUUAAGCUUGAUUCUCAGCAAAAGGUUCUCACAGUUACAAAAGAGCAUAUUUCUGAAGUUCGUGGAAAGAGUUCUAGUGUGCUGAUUAGUGAGGAUCCGGAGUCCAGUUUAAAACCAUUUGAUUUGCUUGGAACGGAAGGAGGCUCUAAUGACUGGACAAAUGGAGCUGGGGUAUCUGCUGGGGGUGAUGGGUGGAAUGCUGGAGGGGCAUCAGCCGGGGGUGGUGGGUGGAAUGCUGGAGGGCCAUCUGGUGAAAGUAAUUCUUGGGCUAGUGCAAAUCCUAUUAAUGAUGUUAAAAAAGAUGAUGAUACUUCUUGGGGGAGCAAAGCAGCUCCAAGUACAGGUUCGUCCUGGGGUGCAGCAGCAGCAGCAGCAGAUAACAACAAUCAAGGUGCUGGCUGGGGAAAAAGUGACGCUUGGGGAAAAUCAAGUGCCAAAAGUGAUGGUGACAGUAGUGCACCAGAUACCAAUGAUCAAGGUGCUGGCUGGGGAAAAAGAGACACUUGGGGAAAAUCAAGUGCUAAAAUUGGGGUCGACAGCAGUGCACCAGCAGAUAACAAUGAUCAAGGCACUGGCUGGGGAAAAAGCGACUCAUGGGGGAAAUCAAGUGUUAAAACUGGGGGUGACAGCAGUGCCCCACAUAACAAUGAUCAAGGUGCUGACUGGGGAAGAAGUGGCUCUUGGGGGCAGAAGGCUGAACUUGCUGGGACGAGUCAACUGGAUUCAUGGGGCAAAGGUAAAAAUGUUGUUGAAGCAGGAUCAUGGGGAAAGAAUUCUGAUGUACCAUCUGGGGAUAUUUCAAGUCCUGGGUGGGGUCAACAGAAAUCUUGGGACAAAGGAAAUGCAGUCAGUAGUGAUGGGCCUGCUUGGGGUAAGCCUCAGAAUAAAGCCACAGGGAACUGGAGCAGUAAAGAUGAAUCAAGUGCUGGCGAUGCAGGGUGGAAAAGUUCAGUACCAGUUGAAAAUGUUCAGACUGGAAGCUGGGGUAAGGCAGGUGGCGGUUCAACAGAGGGUAAGCAAGAUGGCAGUUCUUCUUGGGGUAAGCCAGCUGGAGAUUCAUGGGGUAAACAAACUGGAGGGUCUUCAUGGGGUAAACAAGCUGAUGUAACCACUGGCGGAGUGGGGAACAACGGAGGCAAGUGGGGCAAAGGAUCUGCCACCAAUGAAGAACAAAGUGGUGGAGGGGGAGAUCAAUCAUCAGGCUGGGGUCAAACUACAGCUUGGCAAGGUGGGUCAAGUGGUGGAGGGGGAGAUCAGGUUUCUAAAUGGGGCCAAAAAGGCACUUGGAACUCAAGAUCUAGUGAGACUUAUGGCAAUCAAGAAUCUAGUUGGGGUAAGAAAAGUGAUGGGAACAUCGGAUCUACUUCCUCAGGUGGGAACCAGGAUUCUACAUGGGGCAAGACAAUCAACUCGAACUCUGGAUCUAGUGACACUGGUGGAAAUCUUGAUUCUAGUUGGGGGAAGAAGAGUACCUGGAAUUCUCCAUCUAGUGAGACUGGUGGCAAUCAAGAUUCUAGUUGGGGGAAGAAAAGUGAUUGGAAAUCUGGAUCUGAUGACACUGGUGGGAACCAAGAUUCAACUUGGGGCAAAAAAAGUAGUUGGAACUCACGAUCUGGUGAUGCAAAUCAGAAAUCUAGUUGGGGCAGUAAAAGCGGUUGGAAUUCAACAGAUGGUGGGAAUGUAGACCAACCUGAGGAUUCAAGUGGUGGGAGAGGUGGACGGGGUUUUGGAGAUGGUGGGCGUAGAGGGGGUUUUGGGGGUAGAGGUGGAGGCGGGGGCAGUGGUGCUUGCUUCAAAUGUGGUGAGUCUGGGCACAUGUCGAGGGAGUGCCCCCAGGGCAGUGGAGGCGGUAAAGGUGGUGCUUGCUUCAAGUGUGGUGAGUCUGGGCACAUGUCGAGGGAGUGCCCCCAGGGCAGUGGAGGCGGUAAAGGUGGUGCUUGCUUCAAGUGUGGUGAGUCUGGGCACAUGUCGAGGGAGUGCCCCCAGGGCGGUGGAGGCGGUAAAGGUGGUGCUUGCUUCAAGUGUGGUGAGUCUGGGCACAUGUCCAGGGAAUGCCCCCAGGGCGGUGGAGGCGGUAAAGGUGGUGCUUGCUUCAAAUGUGGUGAGGCCGGGCACAUGUCGAGGGAGUGCCCCCAGGGCGGUGGAGGUGGUGGAGGUGGUGCUUGCUUCAAGUGCGGUGAGUCCGGGCACAUGGCAAGGGACUGCUCCCAGGGCGGUGGGGGCUAUUGUGGUGGCAACCGCAGUGGUGGUGGAGGUGGUGGUGGUGCUUGCUACAAGUGUGGUGAGUCGGGGCACAUGGCGAGGGAUUGCUCCCAGGUCGGUGGAAGCUAUGGUGGUGGCAGCCGUAGUGGUGGAGGUGGCGGCAAUGGUGCUUGCUUCAAGUGUGGUGAGUCAGGGCACAUGGCUAGGGAGUGCCCCCAGGGCGGUGGAGGUGGUAGCAGUGGUGCUUGCUACAAGUGUGGUGAGUCUGGGCAUAUGGCGAGGGACUGCUCCCAGGGCGGUGGAGGCUAUGGUGGUGGCGGCCAUAGCGGUGGUGGAGGCGGUGGUGCUUCCGGUGGCUGCUACAAGUGUGGACAGUCCGGCCAUUUCGCAAGGGAGUGCCCCAACAGUGGUUAAACCAGCAAUCGUACCCUUAAUGCCUUCUGCUGCUGCUGGAGCUUUUGCCUAAUUUAAUCGGGUUUUUCUAUGAAUCAAACCGAACUCUUUUCAGUAAUCCUGUAUGUUGGUUUUGUGGGCCAUCCUUGUUGCUUCCAAUCUGUCGAAACAUGGAUCCAUGGUGAUGAUGCCUUUUGAUGUGGGAAAUGAUUUUCGCGCUCCAACCAUCCCCUCUUGCAGUUCUCCAUCAUCUCACGCUUGGGGGUGUGGUUGUACAAACAUGUUUUCUGGUGAUAUACACACUCGGUGAUAAGGCAAAAUCUCUUUGUUCUUGUUAUGUGGCUAUAUCCUAUAU